CUCUCAUUUUUCUAGGCCGAUGUAUAUAACCUUAGCCUUUAAUCUCUAUCAGGAUCUAAGUGCGAGGGAUAGAGAGAGGGGUGCAAUUGUAGAAGCAUUGUUGGAGACUCUUCAUCCUCUUCUACUUCUGAGGAUGGUUUUCUCCACCCUCCUUUCGAGCUCUACAAUCGUCAUUGUAGGUCCCCUUUUUCUCACUAUUUUUCUUCCCUUUUUCUUCCCGAUG
rnacentral:lncRNA from 1 species